AGCACUGAUUUCAUGUUUGCGAAUUUUUAGGUUUAAUGGUUUAUGCGCAUACUUGUGUCGCUAAUUUUUUCAUAAUCCAACGCUUGUAUCUUCAGCCAUUUUUCAUAGCUGUAGUAAUGCAGGUAAACUAAGCUUUGGCCUACAAUUAUUGAUUCAAAUAGCUACAAAGUGGAAUUGAGAUUACAAGAUCUGAAAUUUGUGAGAUAAUCUAAAUCGGCAAUGAUUAUUAGAGAUAAUUUCAUUCUUUCAGUUAGUUAGCCCAUAGCGUAAUACUAAAUGAUUCCUAGUGUAUAAUCAUUGAAUCAAAGACGACGGCGUAAACAAGUGGAGGCGAACGAGAACAAUGAAAUGUUCAAGUUAGAACAAGUAAGAAACCUAAAACCGUAUUCAAAUUUACGCUUUGGAUAUAUUCCAUAUAUACGAAUUGCCCUAUUCUUGCUUUUAGCUUGUGUUAGCUUUUAUUCAACCUAUAUAGUGCAUCUUAGUCAUGUUACAUAUUCCAGAUCGUGUUUAUGCAAACUGACUGAAUGUAAACAAGCUGCGAAUGUUGACAUCGGAAACUGCUUGAGCGGAACAAAAACUACGGUUAAACAAAUAUUUAUUAAAUUAUGGAUUACAGUUAGGCCAUAAUAUAGCACUAGACUGAAUUGAGAGUAUACUUGUGUUCAAUCAAAGACCCCUGGGAAGAUCUGCCUGUGCAAUGAUGUUAGGACCAUUUCAUAAAUAAGAUCUACAUCAUUGAUGAAUUAAAAACUCAACAGAGAUGCGGUUGUGUUGGGAUGUUCCGGAUAUAGUACAGGUGAUAUUUGCUUAUUUUUUUUUCAAAAUUAUUUCAACGGUCACUUCAUUUGUUGUUUAUAUCCAAACCUUUUUUGUCGUGUCAAGAAUUUACGUGAGCCCAAGUAGCGUUCUCUUUUUCCAAAUCUAUCACAGUUAUACUAAUGCAGUUAAACCUAAGUUUAAGCUACUGACUCGAAGACUCACGUCAGUUUAGUUGAAAAGAGGCGAUCAAGGAUUAAUAAGGUAACUGUUAAUUUAUUUACGUGGCAAUACAGUGUACAAUCUUGGUCAAACCAAGUGUUAGGAUUCCCCCAGUGUCAUUGUAUUGUCUUCUUAUAUUCCCUUGAAAAUGAAUCUGAUUACAUAUGGAGGUUUUAUACUACUGGGCUCUUGCGCUGAGAAACGUAUAUUUGUUGUAAGUGCAUUCAGAUUUACAUUUUGAAUAGUCUUCCAAUUAUUCGUCGUUUCGGCUGUUUGACAAAAUCAUUUAUUCUAACGGCAAUUAAUAAAUGAUUUGGCUUCAUUUACAGCUUUCUCGUUUCUUUGCAGGCAAUUUAUAUGCUUUUACAGUUAUAUGUUUACUUAUGCAGUUAGACUAAUAGUAGGCCUAAAAUUAUUGAUUGGGGUGGAAUUCGAUCACAAAUUUUGGAAUUGUUGGCAUCGGGAUCUGCUGGAGGAAAUGCGGUUGAAUGAACAUUUAUUCAGUUAAGUUAUGUCCUGGUUACGAGGAUAAGCGAAUAAGGUGAAAGCGAAUCUCACGAAUCAAGAGUUUGUUGAAGCAAGUGUAGAUAUAUUUGUCUUUCCAUAUUUAUCACAGUGGAGAGGAAAUUCGUAAGACGGCUUAUUACGUGGACAUCACGGCUUCUCGUCCGAUUUUGUCCGGAUUGCGGAACAAGUGGAUUGAGGCGACAACUGAUCUCACAUCUGUCUGUUCAAAUUAGCUGCAUUCUGGUUGGAAAGAUCAAAGGACAGUCGACAACCGGACACGUACGUUGAAGAACAUUUGAAUGAAUUGUCGUACCAUCUUUAAUAUAUAAACAAGUGUAUUUUAAUUUUUUAUAUAACCAUCUUUCUACCAGAGUUUGCGCAUAUCAAAGCUUGCCCCAGUAGUGGCGUAUCUGCGUGAAAUGGCGCCUAUGGAAAUGUUUAAAAUGCGCCCUCUUGAUCAAUCGUUCACUGAAAUUUUAAACUCUGGUUAUUGCUUUGGGAUUCUUUUACGUUAUUUAGGUAGUAUUUAUCAAAAUGAGGUUUCGCCGAUUGUGCGCCCUCCUCCAAAUGUGAGCCCAUUGCAGUGGCCCUCUUGCUAUAUAAGUAUGCCACUGAGCCCAGGUAUCGCCCAGAAAUUCACAAUUCUUCAUUUCGCGUCUGAUCGUGGCAGAAAAGCUUGAUAUCUCGAUGUUGCUAGCUUUUAAAAAAUCCGUCCCUGCAUUCCCAUUAAUAUCUCAACUUUAUCCACCUAUUCUCAUACUUUUAUUUUCCGAGGACUAGAUGUAGAUUUUUGUUCUAUUGCUUGAAGAAUAAUAAAAUGAUUGAGGCCA